AGGGAUUUAGCUUAGUGGUUCUACCACCUGUCUCAUAAGCACAAGGACCCAAGUUCAAUCCUUGGUAUCCCCA
rnacentral:tRNA from 1 species